rnacentral:rRNA from 1 species
GCUUAUGGCCAUGCUACCCUGAACACAUCCAAUCUUGUCUGAUCUCAGAAGCUAAGCAGGGUUGGGCCUUGUUUAGUGCUUGGAUGGGAGACCACCUGGGUAGGUGGCUCAGGAGGUG